GCCACAUGACGUUGAGACAUUGAUUCGCAUACGAUCAUCGAAGUUAAGCAACGUCGAGCCUGGUUAGUACUUACAUGGGUGACCGCUUGGGAAUACCAGGUGCUGUAAU